GACGAACGCUGGCGGCGUGCUUAACACAUGCAAGUCGAACGGACAGACGCUGCUUUUGUGGGUUUCUCGAUUGGCGAACGCGUGAGUAACACGUGAGUAACCUCCCCUUGACUGUCGGGUAACUUCACGGAACUCGGGCUCAUACCGGAUAUGAUCUCCUGCUCCAUGGUGUGGGUUGGUGAGUGUCGGCGGUUCGGGCUGGACUGGCGGGUUACCAGCUUGUUGGGGGAGUAGUGGCUGUCAAAGGCUUUGACGGGUAGGCGGCCUGGGAGGGUGACCGGGCACAUUGCGACUGAGGUACGGACCAGACUCGUACGGGAGGCAGCAGUGGGGAAUAUUGCGCAAUGGGGGGAAGUGUGAUGCAGCAGCGUCGCGUGCGGGAUGCCGGCUUUCGGGGUGUAAACCGAUGUGGCAGGUGCCGAAGAGUGAGUGACGGUAAUGGGUAAAGAAGCAACGGCUAACUACGUG
rnacentral:rRNA from 1 species